CCUACGGGUGACAGCAGUGAGGAAUAUUGGUCAAUGGGCGGGAGCCUGAACCAGCCAAGCCGCGUGAGGGAAGAAGGUACAGCGUAUCGUAAACCUCUUUUGUCAGGGAACAAAGGCGGGGACUAGUCCCCGGAUGGGGGUACCUGAAGAAAAAGCCUCGGCUAACUCCGUGCCCGCCGCCGCGGGAAUACGGAGGAUGCGAGCGUUAUCCGGAUUUAUUGGGUUUAAAGGGUGCGCAGGCGGCCUUUUAAGUCAGCGGUAAAAGACCGGGGCUCAACCCCGGCGAGCCGUUGAAACUGGGGGGCUGGAGUGGGAGAGAAGUACGCGGAAUGCGCGGUGUAGCGGUGAAAUGCUUAGAUAUCGCGCAGAACCCCGAUUGCGAAGGCAGCGUACCGGCGCCACACUGACGCUGAGGCACGAAAGCGUGGGUAUCGAACAGGAUUAGAUACCCGGGUAGUC
rnacentral:rRNA from 1 species